GAAGAGUCUCAGGUGAGAAACAUCUGCAUUGUUCAUCAAUUUUAUUUUCAUUCUUCAGUCCUUUUUCCGACAAGUGUGUAACUAGUUAUCUUUGUAGUUAGGAGACUGCUGACUCAGAUGACCUGACUGAUGGAUCCUGUCUCAAGACUUGGGAUGCAGUUACCAUGGAGACGGAUGGGAUGAAGCUGAGCAGUUUCACCGGGUAAGCUUCACAGUUUAUGUGGAAUGUCUUUUAUUCUGUCAUCGCUUUUGUAAUCACCAAUGUGAAAUAUGAAAUGUGGAGACAUGUAACCCACAUCUCAACAUUGAAAUUUAUGAAGCCUACAGAUGCAAGUAAAAUUCACAGACUGAAUAAAGUUGCUAAUAAAAUGCACACCUUGAGCCUAUUAUAUCAAUGUUUAUGUAUCCAUCUGACUCUUCUUUUCAGUCUUAGGUAUGUCCUGGAGGCCAGCAGUGAUUCCGAUCCAGAAAGCUGUUACCUUGGAGUGCAGUGUUGCUUAGCGACACCGAGGGAGGGUUUAGUUUCCACUGACAGACGUCUGUCUGGAAGGCCUGAGCUGUGACUCCUGUCCAUAUCAGAUGAGGAAUGCCGUGUGGCUUAGAGACACCGAGGGAGUGGAAUACAAACUAAGAUGUGACCCCGGAGACUGGACUGCAGCCUGGUGGGCAGCAAAAGAAGAUUGGGGGAGUUGUGAGUAUGGUCUCUUUGUUAACACAAGA